GGUUAAGCGACUAAGCGUACACGGUGGAUGCCCUGGCAGUCAGAGGCGAUGAAGGACGUGCUAAUCUGCGAAAAGCGUCGGUAAGGUGAUAUGAACCGUUACAGCCGGCGAUGUCCGAAUGGGGAAACCCAGUGCAAUUCGUUGCACUAUCGUUAACUGAAUACAUAGGUUAACGAGGCGAACCGGGGGAACUGAAACAUCUAAGUACCCCGAGGAAAAGAAAUCAACCGAGAUUCCCCCAGUAGCGGCGAGCGAACGGGGAGCAGCCCAGAGUCUGAAUCAGCUUGUGUGUUAGUGGAACGGUCUGGAAAGUCCGACGGUACAGGGUGAUAGUCCCGUACACCAAAAUGCACAGGUUGUGAACUCGAAGAGUAGGGCGGGACACGUGGUAUCCUGUCUGAAUAUGGGGGGACCAUCCUCCAAGGCUAAAUACUCCUGACUGACCGAUAGUGAACCAGUACCGUGAGGGAAAGGCGAAAAGAACCCCGGCGAGGGGAGUGAAAAAGAACCUGAAACCGUGUACGUACAAGCAGUGGGAGCACCUUCGGGUGUGACUGCGUACCUUUUGUAUAAUGGGUCAGCGACUUAUAUUCUGUAGCAAGGUUAACCGUAUAGGGGAGCCGCAGGGAAACCGAGUCUUAACUGGGCGUUAAGUUGCAGGGUAUAGACCCGAAACCCGGUGAUCUAGCCAUGGGCAGGUUGAAGGUUGGGUAACACUAACUGGAGGACCGAACCGACUAAUGUUGAAAAAUUAGCGGAUGACUUGUGGCUGGGGGUGAAAGGCCAAUCAAACCGGGAGAUAGCUGGUUCUCCCCGAAAGCUAUUUAGGUAGCGCCUCGUGAAUUCAUCUUCGGGGGUAGAGCACUGUUUCGGCUAGGGGGUCAUCCCGACUUACCAACCCGAUGCAAACUACGAAUACCGAAGAAUGUUAUCACGGGAGACACACGGCGGGUGCUAACGUCCGUCGUGAAGAGGGAAACAACCCAGACCGCCAGCUAAGGUCCCAAAGUCAUGGUUAAGUGGGAAACGAUGUGGGAAGGCACAGACAGCCAGGAUGUUGGCUUAGAAGCAGCCAUCAUUUAAAGAAAGCGUAAUAGCUCACUGGUCGAGUCGGCCUGCGCGGAAGAUGUAACGGGGCUAAACCAUGCACCGAAGCUGCGGCAGCGACACUAUGUGUUGUUGGGUAGGGGAGCGUUCUGUAAGCCUGCGAAGGUGGCCUGUGAGGGUUGCUGGAGGUAUCAGAAGUGCGAAUGCUGACAUAAGUAACGAUAAAGCGGGUGAAAAGCCCGCUCGCCGGAAGACCAAGGGUUCCUGUCCAACGUUAAUCGGGGCAGGGUGAGUCGACCCCAAGGCGAGGCCGAAAGGCGUAGUCGAUGGGAAACAGGUUAAUAUUCCUGUACUUGGUGUUACUGCGAAGGGGGGACGGAGAAGGCUAUGUUAGCCGGGCGACGGUUGUCCCGGUUUAAGCAUGUAGGCGGAGGUUCCAGGUAAAUCCGGUACCUUUUAACGCUGAGGUGUGAUGACGAGGCACUACGGUGCUGAAGUAACAAAUGCCCUGCUUCCAGGAAAAGCCUCUAAGCAUCAGGUAACAUCAAAUCGUACCCCAAACCGACACAGGUGGUCAGGUAGAGAAUACCAAGGCGCUUGAGAGAACUCGGGUGAAGGAACUAGGCAAAAUGGUGCCGUAACUUCGGGAGAAGGCACGCUGGUGUGUAGGUGAAGUCCCUGCGGAUGGAGCUGAGACCAGUCGAAGAUACCAGCUGGCUGCAACUGUUUAUUAAAAACACAGCACUGUGCAAACACGAAAGUGGACGUAUACGGUGUGACGCCUGCCCGGUGCCGGAAGGUUAAUUGAUGGGGUUAUCCGUAAGGAGAAGCUCUUGAUCGAAGCCCCGGUAAACGGCGGCCGUAACUAUAACGGUCCUAAGGUAGCGAAAUUCCUUGUCGGGUAAGUUCCGACCUGCACGAAUGGCGUAAUGAUGGCCAGGCUGUCUCCACCCGAGACUCAGUGAAAUUGAACUCGCUGUGAAGAUGCAGUGUACCCGCGGCAAGACGGAAAGACCCCGUGAACCUUUACUAUAGCUUGACACUGAACAUUGAGCCUUGAUGUGUAGGAUAGGUGGGAGGCUUUGAAGCGUGGACGCCAGUCUGCGUGGAGCCAACCUUGAAAUACCACCCUUUAAUGUUUGAUGUUCUAACGUUGGCCCCUUAUCGGGGUUGCGGACAGUGUCUGGUGGGUAGUUUGACUGGGGCGGUCUCCUCCCAAAGAGUAACGGAGGAGCACGAAGGUUAGCUAAUCCUGGUCGGACAUCAGGAGGUUAGUGCAAUGGCAUAAGCUAGCUUGACUGCGAGCGUGACGGCGCGAGCAGGUGCGAAAGCAGGUCAUAGUGAUCCGGUGGUUCUGAAUGGAAGGGCCAUCGCUCAACGGAUAAAAGGUACUCCGGGGAUAACAGGCUGAUACCGCCCAAGAGUUCAUAUCGACGGCGGUGUUUGGCACCUCGAUGUCGGCUCAUCACAUCCUGGGGCUGAAGUAGGUCCCAAGGGUAUGGCUGUUCGCCAUUUAAAGUGGUACGCGAGCUGGGUUUAGAACGUCGUGAGACAGUUCGGUCCCUAUCUGCCGUGGGCGCUGGAGAAUUGAGGGGGGCUGCUCCUAGUACGAGAGGACCGGAGUGGACGCAUCACUGGUGUUCGGGUUGUCAUGCCAAUGGCACUGCCCGGUAGCUAAAUGCGGAAGAGAUAAGUGCUGAAAGCAUCUAAGCACGAAACUUGCCCCGAGAUGAGUUCUCCCUGAGACUAUAAGUCUCCUGAAGGAACGUUGAAGACGACGACGUUGAUAGGCCGGGUGUGUAAGCGCAGCGAUGCGUUGAGCUAACCGGUACUAAUGAACCGUGAGGCUUAACCUU
rnacentral:rRNA from 1 species